rnacentral:piRNA from 1 species
UAACGCCAAGGUCGCGGGUUCGAACCCCGUA